GAUGAACGCUGGCGGCGUGCCUAAUACAUGAAAGUCGAGCGAACAGACGAGGAGCUUGCUCCUCUGACGUUAGCGGCGGACGGGUGAGUAACACGUGGAUAACCUACCUAUAAGACUGGGAUAACUUCGGGAAACCGGAGCUAAUACCGGAUAAUAUAUUGAACCGCAUGGUUCAAUAGUGAAAGACGGUUUUGCUGUCACUUAUAGAUGGAUCCGCGCCGCAUUAGCUAGUUGGUAAGGUAACGGCUUACCAAGGCAACGAUGCGUAGCCGACCUGAAAGGGUGAUCGGCCACCCUGGAACUGAGACACGGUCCAGACUCCUACGGGAGGCAGCAGUAGGGAAUCUUCCGCAAUGGGCGAAAGCCUGAUGGAGCAACGCCGCGUGAGUGAUGAAGGUCUUCGGAUCGUAAAACUCUGUUAUUAGGGAAGAACAAAUGUGUAAGUAACUAUGCACGUCUUGACGGUACCUAAUCAGAAAGCCACGGCUAACUACGUG
rnacentral:rRNA from 1 species